rnacentral:rRNA from 1 species
UACGUAGGGGCCGAGCGUUGUCCGGAUUCAUUGGGCGUAAAGAGCGUGUAGGCGGCCAGAUAAGUCCGCUGUGAAAUCUCGAGGCUCAACUUCGAGCUGUCGGUGGAAACUGUCUGGCUAGAGUCCGGAAGAGGAGAAUGGAAUUCCUGGUGUAGCGGUGAAAUGCGCAGAUAUCAGGAAGAACACCCGUGGCGAAGGCGGAUCUCUGGGCCGGUACUGACGCUGAGGAGCGAAAGCGUGGGUAGCAAACAGG